rnacentral:rRNA from 1 species
UACAGAGGGUGCAAGCGUUGUUCGGAAUUAUUGGGCGUAAAGCGCGUGUAGGCGGCUUUGCAAGUCGGGUGUGAAAUCCCUCAGCUCAACUGAGGAAGUGCGCCCGAAACUGCAGAGCUUGAGUGCCGGAGAGGAUGGCGGAAUUCCCGGUGUAGAGGUGAAAUUCGUAGAUAUCGGGAGGAACACCAGUGGCGAAGGCGGCGACCUGGGACAGAUAUUGACGCUGAGGUGCGAAAGCGUGGGGAGCAAACAGG